rnacentral:rRNA from 1 species
CCUACGGGCGGCUGCAGUCGGGAAUAUUGCGCAAUGGAGGAAACUCUGACGCAGUGACGCCGCGUAUAGGAAGAAGGUUUUCGGAUUGUAAACUAUUGUCGUUAGGGAAGAUAAAAGACUGUACCUAAGGAGGAAGCCCCGGCUAACUAUGUGCCAGCAGCCGCGGUAAUACAUAGGGGGCAAGCGUUGUCCGGAUUUACUGGGUGUAAAGGGCGUGCAGCCGGGCCGACAAGUCAGAUGUGAAAUCCGCGGGCUUAACCCGCGAACUGCAUUUGAAACUAUUGGUCUUGAGUACCGGAGAGGUCAUCGGAAUUCCUUGUGUAGCGGUGAAAUGCGUAGAUAUAAGGAAGAACACCAGUGGCGAAGGCGGAUGACUGGACGGCAACUGACGGUGAGGCGCGAAAGCGUGGGGAGCAAACAGGAUUAGAUACCCCAGUAGUC